rnacentral:rRNA from 1 species
CCUACGGGCGGCUGCAGUGGGGAAUUUUGGACAAUGGGGGCAACCCUGAUCCAGCCAUGCCGCGUGCGGGAAGAAGGCCUUCGGGUUGUAAACCGCUUUUGUCAGGGAAGAAAUCUUCCGAGCUAAUACCUUGGGAGGAUGACGGUACCUGAAGAAUAAGCACCGGCUAACUACGUGCCAGCAGCCGCGGUAAUACGUAGGGUGCAAGCGUUAAGUAGAAUUACUGGGCGCAAAGGUUGCGGAGGCGGGUGAAAUCCCCGGGCUUAACCUGGGAACUGCACUUGUGACUGUACGGCGGGAGUACGGCAGAGGGGGAUGGAAUUCCGCGUGUAGCAGUGAAAUGCGUAGAUAUGCGGAGGAACACCGAUGGCGAAGGCAGUCCCCUGGGCCUGUACUGACGCUCAUGCACGAAAGCGUGGGGAGCAAACAGGAUUAGAUACCCUAGUAGUC